AUACGAGGGUGCGAGCGUUGUUCGGAAUUAUUGGGCGUAAAGCGCGUGUAGGCGGUCUUUUAAGUCUGAUGUGAAAGCCCCAGGCUCAACCCGGGAAGUGCAUUGGAUACUGGGAGACUUGAAUACGGGAGAGAGUAGUGGAAUUCCUAGUGUAGGAGUGAAAUCCGUAGAUAUUAGGAGGAACACCGGUGGCGAAGGCGGCUACCUGGACCGAUAUUGACGCUGAGACGCGAAAGCGU
rnacentral:rRNA from 1 species